rnacentral:rRNA from 1 species
CAUGCAAGUCGAGCGGAUCUUCAUUAGCUUGCUUUUGAAGAUCAGCGGCGGACGGGUGAGUAACACGUGGGCAACCUGCCUGUAAGACUGGGAUAACUUCGGGAAACCGGAGCUAAUACCGGAUAAUCCUUUUCCUCACAUGAGGGAAAGCUGAAAGACGGUUUCGGCUGUCACUUACAGAUGGGCCCGCGGCGCAUUAGCUAGUUGGUGAGGUAACGGCUCACCAAGGCAACGAUGCGUAGCCGACCUGAGAGGGUGAUCGGCCACACUGGGACUGAGACACGGCCCAGACUCCUACGGGAGGCAGCAGUAGGGAAUCUUCCGCAAUGGACGAAAGUCUGACGGAGCAACGCCGCGUGAGCGAUGAAGGCCUUCGGGUCGUAAAGCUCUGUUGUCAGGGAAGAACAAGUAUCGGAGUAACUGCCGGUACCUUGACGGUACCUGACCAGAAAGCCACGGCUAACUACGUGCCAGCAGCCGCGGUAAUACGUAGGUGGCAAGCGUUGUCCGGAAUUAUUGGGCGUAAAGCGCGCGCAGGCGGUUCCUUAAGUCUGAUGUGAAAGCCCCCGGCUCAACCGGGGAGGGUCAUUGGAAACUGGGGAACUUGAGUGCAGAAGAGGAGAGCGGAAUUCCACGUGUAGCGGUGAAAUGCGUAGAGAUGUGGAGGAACACCAGUGGCGAAGGCGGCUCUCUGGUCUGUAACUGACGCUGAGGCGCGAAAGCGUGGGGAGCGAACAGGAUUAGAUACCCUGGUAGUCCACGCCGUAAACGAUGAGUGCUAAGUGUUAGAGGGUUUCCGCCCUUUAGUGCUGCAGCAAACGCAUUAAGCACUCCGCCUGGGGAGUACGGCCGCAAGGCUGAAACUCAAAGGAAUUGACGGGGGCCCGCACAAGCGGUGGAA